rnacentral:rRNA from 1 species
CCACGCUGUAAACGAUGUCGAUUUAGAGGUUGUGGUCUUGAACCGUAGCUUCUGGAGCUAACGCGUUAAAUCGACCGCCUGGGGAGUACGGCCGCAAGGUUAAAACUCAAAUGAAUUGACGGGGGCCCGCACAAGCGGUGGAGCAUGUGGUUUAAUUCGAUGCAACGCGAAGAACCUUACCUACUCUUGACAUCCAGCGAAUCCUUUAGAGAUAGAGGAGUGCCUUCGGGAACGCUGAGACAGGUGCUGCAUGGCUGUCGUCAGCUCGUGUUGUGAAAUGUUGGGUUAAGUCCCGCAACGAGCGCAACCCUUAUCCUUUGUUGCCAGCACGUAAUGGUGGGAACUCAAAGGAGACUGCCGGUGAUAAACCGGAGGAAGGUGGGGAUGACGUCAAGUCAUCAUGGCCCUUACGAGUAGGGCUACACACGUGCUACAAUGGCAGAUACAAAGAGAAGCGACCUCGCGAGAGCAAGCGGAACUCAUAAAGUCUGUCGUAGUCCGGAUUGGAGUCUGCAACU